rnacentral:rRNA from 1 species
AGUGAACGCUGGCGGUAGGCCUAACACAUGCAAGUCGAACGGCAGCACAGUAAGAGCUUGCUCUUACGGGUGGCGAGUGGCGGACGGGUGAGGAAUACAUCGGAAUCUACUUUUUCGUGGGGGAUAACGUAGGGAAACUUACGCUAAUACCGCAUACGACCUACGGGUGAAAGCAGGGGAUCUUCGGACCUUGCGCGAUUGAAUGAGCCGAUGUCGGAUUAGCUAGUUGGCGGGGUAAAGGCCACCAAGGCGACGAUCCGUAGCUGGUCUGAGAGGAUGAUCAGCCACACUGGAACUGAGACACGGUCCAGACUCCUACGGGAGGCAGCAGUGGGGAAUAUUGGACAAUGGGCGCAAGCCUGAUCCAGCCAUACCGCGUGGGUGAAGAAGGCCUUCGGGUUGUAAAGCCCUUUUGUUGGGAAAGAAAAGCAGCAGGUUAAUACCCCGCUGUCCUGACGGUACCCAAAGAAUAAGCACCGGCUAACUUCGUG